CGUCAUGUCGUAGGGGCGGGGGUGCGGGGCCGGGUUUUCUCGGGUACCGGCGCCGGCUGGUGUGCGUGCUUUGCAGGUAUGGGGACGCCUGCAGGCUUGCAGACCGACUGUGAGGCGCUGCUCAGCCGCUUCCAGGAGAUGGACAGCGUGCGCUUUGAGGACUUCACCGAACUCUGGCGGAGCAUGAAGUUCGGGACCAUCUUCUGUGGUAGAAUGAGAAAUUUAGAAAAGAACACAUUUACAAAAGAAGCUUUAGCUUUGGCUUGGCGAUAUUUUUUACCUCCGUACACCUUCCAGAUCAGAGUUGGUGCUUUGUAUCUGCUGUAUGGAUUAUAUAACACCCAACUGUGUCAACCAAAACAAAAGAUCAGAGUUGCCCUGAAGGAUUGGGAUGAAGUUUUAAAAUUUCAGCAAGAUUUGAUAAACGCACAACAUUUUGAUGCAGCUUAUAUUUUUAGGAAGCUACGACUAGACAGAGCAUUUCACUUUACAGCAAUGCCUAAAUUGCUGUCAUACAGAAUGAAGAAAAAAAUUCAACGAGCUGAAGUUACAGAAGAAUUUAAAGACCCAAAUGAUCGUGUAAUGAAACUUAUCACUUCUGAUGUAUUAGAGGAAAUGCUGAAUGUUCAUGACCAUUAUCAGAGAAUGAAACAUGUAAUUUCAGUUGAUAAGUCCAAUCCAGACAAAGCCCUCAGCUUGAUAAAGGAUGAUUUUUUUGACAAUAUCAAGAACAUAGUUUUGGAGCAUCAGCAGUGGCACAAAGACAGAAAGAAUCUAUCCUUGAAAUCUAAAGUUAAAGAUGGAGAAGAAAAGAGUGAAGGAAAUUCACGAGGAUCAGAGAGAUGUGAAAGGGCAGAAUCAUUAGCGAAAAUAAAAUCAAAGGCCUUUUCAGUUGUUGCUCAGGCAUCCAAGUCAAGAAGACAUCGUCAGGUCAAAAUGGACUCUUCUGACUCUGAUUCUGCAUCUGGUCAAGGACAAAUCAAAGCAACUAGGAAAAAAAGAAACAGAGAAACACUGAAAUCAGCAGGAAGGAAGACAUCUUCCAGAAACAGAGGUGGCAUGCAGAAUGUGCAUAAGGAAGAUAAAUCUCUGAGUCUGAGUAUGCCUGUAAUUACAGAAGAGGAAGAGGAGAAUGAAAGUUUUAGCGAAACAGAGUUGACUGCAUCCAAGAGGAGAAGAAAAUUCAAAACAAAGAAGAGCCUGGUGUGGAGUUCUUAAUUUUGAGCUUUCCAAUAGAAGAAAAGAUUUAUAUUUUGUGUAUUGAACAGGAAGACUGAAAGUAUUAAAAAUAAUUCUUCUGGGAAGCUACAUUUACAUGGAGAUUGCUUCAGCCGUGCUGUGAGAACUGCCCUGGCAGCAGACCAUCUCCACAUCAUGCACUUGGCUCAGCCUGUCUUGCGGUUGGUUAUGCUCCAUGUUGUUUCCCAGUGUUGUAUAUUCAGGAAUUCCGCCAGUGUCCUGUGAGUGAAAAUGUGUGAUAUCCGUACUUUUAAGUACUUUUAAAAUCAAAGUACUAAUGCUAGCCGAGAGAAAAUUUUCCUUUAUUAGAAUAUAUGCUAUCACAUUAGCUGUGAAACAGAAUUAUUUCCCUUGACUGACUUCAGAUGUUUCUGGUAAUAGAAGGGGCAGUUUUCAUGAUGUGAAUAUUGGGCAAGCUUCUGGGGUUUAAGUAUUCUACCGUUGGAGCACUUGGGUGCCUGGUUCUAUUAUUGGCUACUUGUAUACCCCGUCAUUUGCUAGGAUUUGUCUGCUCGUUAGUUUACAAACAGUGUACAAGUAACACAGCAAAUUGAUAUCGUAUUUUUUCCACAACAAUACUUAUAAAAGGUAUCAUUUCACUUGUACAGUGAAGAAACUGUACUUGAGGAUGGUAAGUACUUGCCCACAUUCACAAAGUUAGAUGCAUCUGGGGUACAGAUACAGGGCUGUGGCCUAUAAUUUCAGAGACAUUUUAUAUAAGCCAAACGAGAUGGAAAUCCAGAGGGAUACUUUUGACUGCAAGCUGUAAAACCUCACUUCCAGAUGUCUGAAACAGUAUGAAAAUUUAUUUGAAACCCAUGGAGCCUCAUUGUGGGCGGCUCUGGAUUCUGUAGUGCAUCAGUUCCGUGAUGGCUUCAUAUACCCAGGUGUGGAUCUCUAUGGAAAGCUUCAUAGUAGUAGUGUAGGGAACUGCUGACUGGCCAGGUUCCCAGACUACAGCCGAGGGCCACCUUGCAAGCAAACCUUCUUAGAACAGCAGGCCUGCUCUGUUCCCUCUUUUCUCUACAGGUCUGUCUCAUUUUUCACUAUUUCCAACAAUGCUGCAUUGACCUCUUUGUGUGUCUAUCUUGGCUAACUUAAUGUUGGUAUUCUUGUUGCAUAAAUCUAUUCUACACAUGAAUUUGUUUGUCAAACAGUGUGUAUAUAUAAACUUUGAUAAUUAUUGCAAAUUGAAUCCCAAAAAGGCUGCCAAUUUACAUUCCUACUAAUGAUAUUUGCGAGGGCCCCUCCAUUACACCAGUUAUCAGUCUUUGUAAUUGUCAGUUGAACACAGCCUGAAUCUUAACAGCAGAAAAUGUAGAAAGACAGAUAAAAGUAACAAAACUGUAUACUAAGCUGAUGUGAGUUGCUGUAAGGUUACAUCUGACAGAGUGGUGCUUUAACUGAUAGCAAGUUUUUCAUGAGUAUAUUUUGAAGAUAAGGUGUGAAGCACUUAAUAGAUUUGCUUUAAAAGUGAAAUUGAAGCUUACUGAACAGAGUUCAGAUAGAAAAUAUUUGUGUUUUAACAGUGGGUUUUCAGUGGUGUUUUAAGUGGGUUUAAAUGUGGUGUCCAAAUAUUAGUUACCUAUUAAAGUAAGCUAUUUUUGUUGUCAACUUGGUUAUGAUAAAGUAAUGGCACCAAGUUGUAAAUACAUGAUUUUAAUAUUAAAUAUUUACUAAAUUAAUAUUUUGGGUGGGGAAAGGGGAAACACAAGCUGCAUUUUUAAAUCAUACCAUUUUCCUUUCAGAAAUCUUAAUAUAUGAAAGAAUUAUUCAACAUAGACAGUUGGCAUUGUAGUAGUUUUAAUAUUAGAUACCGGGUUUACCUGGGGUAUGUAAAAAACAAGCAUAAUGAAUGAAAUAAAUGGAACCAUAAAGAAAAUGGAGCUGGUAUG